rnacentral:rRNA from 1 species
AUUGAACGCUGGCGGCAGGCCUAACACAUGCAAGUCGAGCGAGCGGCGGACGGGUGAGUAAUGUCUGGGAAACUGCCUGAUGGAGGGGGAUAACUACUGGAAACGGUAGCUAAUACCGCAUACCAUCAGAUGUGCCUAGAUGGGAUUAGCUAGUAGGUGGGGUAACGGCUCACCUAGGCGGCGAUCCCUAGCUGGUCUGAGAGGAUGACCAGCCACGCUGGAACUGAACCACGGUCCCGACUCCUACGGGAGGCAGCAUUGGGGAAUAUUGCACAAUGGGCGCAAGCCUGAUGCAGCCAUGCCGCGUGUGUGAAGAAGGCCUUCGGGUUGUAAAGCACUUUCAGCGGGGAGGCGUUACCCGCAGAAGAAGCACCGGCUAACUCCGUGCCAGCCGCCGCGAUAAUUC